GUGCCAGCCGCCGCGGUAAUACCGGCAGCCCAAGUGAUGUCCGAUCUUAUUGGGCCUAAAGCGUCCGUAGCUGGCUGCGCAAGUCCGUCGGGAAAUCCACUCGCCCAACGAGUGGGCGUCCGACGGAAACUGCACAGCUUGGGACCGGAAGGCUCGAAGGGUACGUGCGGGGUAGGAGUGAAAUCCCAUAAUCCCGCACGGGCCACCGAUGGCGAAAGCACUUCGAGAAAACGGAUCCGACAGUGAGGGACGAAAGCAAGGGUCUCCAACCGGAUUAGAACCCCCAGUGGUCC
rnacentral:rRNA from 1 species